rnacentral:lncRNA from 1 species
AUGCACUUCUUUGCCACAUUAACCCUUUGGACCUACAAACACACGAAAAUAGCUUAAAAUACUAAAAUAACUACAAACUAACAACAUAAAUGCCAAGAAACAAGCUAACUAAGUCGCAUAAAUAUGCUUCUAUCAACACCUAUGCACACUUUUAUAGUUAUCUUAGUGUAAAUUAGUUAGUUUUGGUUUUUAAUUACUCACAUUUUCGUAUCACUUCCGCUCUGCGCUCAUGGCUACGUCACCCUCACGUGAUAGCCAGCUUGCCUCGAUUACGGUCGGCCUGCAUAUUUGGUGAGUAUUCUAAUCAUUUUGAUGUCUUAUGUCAGAACCAUGCCGC